AUGCAGUCGAACGGUAACAUUUCUAGCUUGCUAGAAGAUGACGAGUGGCGGACGGGUGAGUAAUGCUUGGGAACUUGCCUUUGCGAGGGGGAUAACAGUUGGAAACGACUGCUAAUACCGCAUAAUGUCUUCGGACCAAACGGGGCUUCGGCUCCGGCGCAAAGAGAGGCCCAAGUGAGAUUAGCUAGUUGGUAAGGUAACGGCUUACCAAGGCGACGAUCUCUAGCUGUUCUGAGAGGAAGAUCAGCCACACUGGGACUGAGACACGGCCCAGACUCCUACGGGAGGCAGCAGUGGGGAAUAUUGCACAAUGGGGGAAACCCUGAUGCAGCCAUGCCGCGUGUGUGAAGAAGGCCUUCGGGUUGUAAAGCACUUUCAGUUGUGAGGAAAAGUUAGUAGUUAAUACCUGCUAACCGUGACGUUAACAACAGAAGAAGCACCGGCUAACUCCGUGCCAGCAGCCGCGGUAAUACGGAGGGUGCGAGCGUUAAUCGGAAUUACUGGGCGUAAAGCGCACGCAGGCGGUUUGUUAAGCUAGAUGUGAAAGCCCCGGGCUCAACCUGGGAUGGUCAUUUAGAACUGGCAGACUAGAGUCUUGGAGAGGGGAGUGGAAUUCCAGGUGUAGCGGUGAAAUGCGUAGAUAUCUGGAGGAACAUCAGUGGCGAAGGCGACUCCCUGGCCAAAGACUGACGCUCAUGUGCGAAAGUGUGGGUAGCGAACAGGAUUAGAUACCCUGGUAGUCCACACCGUAAACGCUGUCUACUAGCUGUGUGUGCCUUUAAGGCGUGCGUAGCGAAGCUAACGCGCUAAGUAGACCGCCUGGGGAGUACGGCCGCAAGGUUAAAACUCAAAUGAAUUGACGGGGGCCCGCACAAGCGGUGGAGCAUGUGGUUUAAUUCGAUGCAACGCGAAGAACCUUACCUACACUUGACAUGCAGAGAACUUUCUAGAGAUAGAUUGGUGC
rnacentral:rRNA from 1 species